AUGCAAGUCGAACGGGACUUAAUCUGUAGCAAUACAGAUUAAGUCUAGUGGCGAACGGGUGCGUAACACGUGGGCAAUCUGCCGAGAAGUGGGGGAUAGCUCGCCGAAAGGCGAAUUAAUACCGCAUAUGAUCAGGGACGACAUCUUCCCAACAUCAAAGCCGGGGUAACCUGGCGCUUCUUGAUGAGCCCGCGGCCUAUCAGCUAGUUGGUGAGGUAACGGCUCACCAAGGCUAUGACGGGUAGCUGGUCUGAGAGGACGACCAGUCACACUGGAACUGAGACACGGUCCAGACACCUACGGGUGGCAGCAGUCGAGAAUUUUUCUCAAUGGGGGAAACCCUGAAGGAGCGACGCCGCGUGGAGGAUGAAGGCUUUCGGGUUGUAAACUCCUGCCAUUUGAGAACAAGUGUAGCUAAGUAACUACUGGCUACUUGAUAGUAUCAGAAGAGGAAGAGACGGCUAACUCUGUGCCAGCAGCCGCGGUAAUACAGAGGUCUCAAGCGUUGUUCGGAUUCAUUGGGCGUAAAGGGUGCGUAGGUGGCGGGGUAAGUCAGGUGUGAAAUUUCGGAGCUUAACUCCGAAACUGCAUUUGAUACUGCCUUGCUUGAGGACUGGAGAGGAGACUGGAAUUCACGGUGUAGCAGUGAAAUGCGUAGAGAUCGUGAGGAAGACCAGUGGCGAAGGCGGGUCUCUGGACAGUUCCUGACACUGAGGCACGAAGGCCAGGGGAGCAAACGGGAUUAGAUACCCCGGUAGUCCUGGCAGUAAACGGUGCACGUUUGGUGUGGGGGGAUUCGACCCCUUCCGCGCCGGAGCUAACGCGUUAAACGUGCCGCCUGGGGAGUACGGUCGCAAGAUUAAAACUCAAAGAAAUUGACGGGGGCCCGCACAAGCGGUGGAGUAUGUGGCUUAAUUCGAUGCAACGCGAAGAACCUUACCAGGCCUUGACAUGCAUUUCUAAGCGGGUGAAAGCCCGUGAGUCUCGAAAGAGACAACUUGCACAGGUGCUGCAUGGCUGUCGUCAGCUCG
rnacentral:rRNA from 1 species